rnacentral:rRNA from 1 species
CUCUGAUCCAGCCAUGCCGCGUGUGUGAAGAAGGCCUUUUGGUUGUAAAGCACUUUAAGCGAGGAGGAGGCUUACCUGGUUAAUACUUGGGAUAAGUGGACGUUACUCGCAGAAUAAGCACCGGCUAACUCUGUGCCAGCAGCCGCGGUAAUACAGAGGGUGCAAGCGUUAAUCGGAUUUACUGGGCGUAAAGCGCGCGUAGGUGGCUAAUUAAGUCAAAUGUGAAAUCCCCGAGCUUAACUUGGGAAUUGCAUUCGAUACUGGUUAGCUAGAGUAUGGGAGAGGAUGGUAGAAUUCCAGGUGUAGCGGUGAAAUGCGUAGAGAUCUGGAGGAAUACCGAUGGCGAAGGCAGCCAUCUGGCCUAAUACUGACACUGAGGUGCGAAAGCAUGGGGAGCAAACAGGAUUAGAUACCCUGGUAGUCCAUGCCGUAAACGAUGUCUACUAGCCGUUGGGGCCCUUGAGGCUUUAGUGGCGCAGCUAACGCGAUAAGUAGACCGCCUGGGGAGUACG